UGACAACACUUUAUAGAGGCUCCUUCGGGAUCCCCUCUAUCGUCUCAAAAUGCUUAGAAGAAUGGCUCUUUGUCUCGGGAUCAUACUCAAAAAUCCAUGACUCGUCACCUGUGAUUUCCUCAUUCAAAAAUUGGGCGUCACUUUUGCACAUGUUUAAAUUUUCUUGGCACACUUCUACUUGCCGCAACUUCUGGUCGUCAGUGAUCAAAUUUGGGACCAUCUUCGCGCACACCUUGCGCAUGUGUUCCGUCACAAUAUCAAGGAGGCAAUUAAACGAACGACGGUCUGAGUUGAAAACUUUGCGCACAUGAGUCACUCUACUUCUUGUUAAAGCAACAUCUAGCGACUGUACUUCGGAGCAUGCACGCAUUCGGUAAAGGGCGUUCCUAGCUAACGAACGUGUGGCUGGUCAGUUGUCUCCGAGCACCUGGAGAGUCAGGACAAACAUUUUCGCGCGACGUGUUCCUGUGAGUGGUACAAGCCGAAAAUGCAGAGCUGUGCGAUUAAAUUCUGUGUGAAACUCGGUAAAUCUGUGACUAAGACGUUUGAUAUGAUCAAGUAGGCUUACCUAGAUGUUGAUUUAGCAAGAAGUGGUGUGAUUCGGUGGCACCAGGCUUUUUGGGAGGGCCGGGAAAAGGGCGCUGAUGAAGACCAUGCUGGGAGACCUGCGACUUCGACAAACACCGACAAUGUGACUCGUGUGGGCAAAGUUCUCAACUCAGACCGUCAACUAAGUAAUCGUUUAAUUGCCCAAAUGUUAAAUUUAUCAAAAUCUUUGGCUCAUGACAUUGUGACGGAGCGCAAGGUGUGCCGAAGAUGAUCCCAAAAGUUCUCACUGACGACCAGAAAUCGCGGCGAGUAGAAGUGUGUCAAGAAAAUUUGAACACGUGGCAUUCUACAGCCAGAUGUAUCCCAGGACUUUUUUUGUUUCCUUGCCUGAAAAGGCCGAUGAAAGGCAAGCAUUUUGAGAUGACAGAGGGGAUCCAAGCAGUAUUCACCUCGGCUCCCUUUCGUGACGACUUCAAUGUUUGGAAAUCGCGCUGGUAGCGCUGCAUCUACGCCGAAGGAGCAUAUUUUAAAAGUUUUUAAAGAAUUGUAACGAUUGGUACAAUAAAUGUUUUUAAAUCGA